rnacentral:tRNA from 1 species
UACAUUUUAGUGUAUGGUGCACAAGAAUUUUUGAUAUUCUAGGAGAUAGUUUAAUUCUAUUAAAUGUAU